AUUGAACGCUGGCGGAAUGCUUUACACAUGCAAGUCGAGCGGCAGCGCGGGGGCAACCCUGGCGGCGAGCGGCGAACGGGUGAGUAACACAUCGGAACGUACCCAAUUGUGGGGGAUAGCCCGGCGAAAGCCGGAUUAAUACCGCAUACGACCUGAGGGUGAAAGGGGGGGAUCGCAAGACCUCUCGCAGUUGGAGCGGCCGAUGGCGGAUUAGCUAGUUGGUGAGGUAAAGGCUCACCAAGGCGACGAUCCGUAGCUGGUCUGAGAGGACGACCAGCCACACUGGAACUGAGACACGGUCCAGACUCCUACGGGAGGCAGCAGUGGGGAAUUUUGGACAACGGGGGCAACCCUGAUCCAGCCAUUCCGCGUGAGUGAAGAAGGCCUUCGGGUUGUAAAGCUCUUUCGGCAGGAACGAAACGGUGGAGGCUAAUACCUUUCAUCAAUGACGGUACCUGAAGAAGAAGCACCGGCUAACUACGUGCCAGCAGCCGCCGUAA
rnacentral:rRNA from 1 species